rnacentral:rRNA from 1 species
UACAGAGGGGGCAAGCGUUAUUCGGAAUUAUUGGGCGUAAAGGGCGCGUAGGCGGCCUGGCAAGUGGAAGGUGAAAUCCCUCGGCUUAACCGAGGAACUGCCCUCCAAACUGCUUGGCUUGAGUCCGGGAGAGGUGAGUGGAAUUCCCAGUGUAGCGGUGAAAUGCGUAGAGAUCGGGAAGAACAUCGGUGGCGAAAGCGCUCUACUGGGCCAUAACUGACACUCAGGGACGAAAGCUAGGGGAGCGAAUGGG